rnacentral:sRNA from 1 species
GCUGGACGCCUGCUUGUCGCCCCACCGACAGAGAGUCGCCCGCGGCGCGUUCCGCUCCCCCGCGGGACGCGCCACUU